GGCUACAGGUAAACUCAACACACAGUCUCUCGCGUUCCAUGGUUACGCCGACACACAAGGCACCGGCUCACGUGCACUCGAGUUUCGUUAAAGAGAAGCCUUCGUUGUAAGGACUAUAGUGAUUCCGAGAACGAGUGACAAUUCCAGUGGAGAUUUCAUAACGAACGAAAACGGUGUCUUUGGUGUGAAUUUCUGACAUACGAAAAUAAAAGCUGUGGUUUAAAGAACAGACAAACAUUACGAAGAACGAAGAUACGAAAAAUGUAAAGUUGAAUAUGUGAUACUUCCUAUUUUAUAAUCUCUAGUGUCAUACCUGGUAUGGCCUAAUAUCGUGAGGCACAAGUACAUUCACUCAUUGUAAAAGAUAAAUAAAACGUAUAUAUUACUAAGCG